UACGUAGGGUGCAAGCGUUGUCCGGAAUUAUUGGGCGUAAAGAGCGUGUAGGCGGCCCGACCAGUCCGCUGUGAAAGUCCAGGGCUCAACCCUGGGAUGCCGGUGGAUACUGUCGGGCUAGAGUCCGGAAGGGGCGAGUGGAAUUCCUGGUGUAGCGGUGAAAUGCGCAGAUAUCAGGAGGAACACCAAUGGCGAAGGCAGCUCGCUGGGACGUGACUGACGCUGAGACGCGAAAGCGUGGGGAGCAAACAGG
rnacentral:rRNA from 1 species